rnacentral:rRNA from 1 species
GAUGAACGCUGGCGGCGUGCUUAAUACAUGCAAGUCGAGCGAACGGACGCGGAGCUUGCUUCUCUGAUGUUAGCGGCGGACGGGUGUGUAACACGUGGAUCCCCUCCUUAUAUGAGUGGGAUAAUCUCGGGACACGGGCGCUAAUAGCGGAUAAUAUUUUGCAGCGCAGGGGUGAAAGGUGAGAGACGGUGUUGCGGUAACGACUAGAGGGUUACGAGCUGCAUUGGCUAGUUGGUAAGGUAACGGCUUAUCAAGGCAACGAGGCAUAGCCGACGUGCGAGGGGGAUCGCCCACACUGGAAGUGGGACACGGUCAAGACGCCUACGGGAGGCAGCAGUAGGGAAUCGUCCGCAAUGGGCGAAAGUCUGGCGGAGCAGCGCGGCGUGAGUGGUGAAGGUGUUCGGAUCGUAAAACUCUGUUAUUAGGGAAGAACAUAUGUGUAAGUAACUGUGCACAUCUUGACGGUACCGAAUCAGAAAGCCACGGCUAACUACGUG